CAUAUCACAAUUUCGGCCAGAUCAAGGUAAAUAAGGCAAAUGCAAAUUUUUUUUUUGUUUCUUUUUUUUUUUUUUUUGGAUUUCGAAUUUUCUUCCAAAAGAGAUUAUGUGAUAAUUUAUUAAGAAGGUGCAGCCAUGAAUACAAAAGCUUUCACCGAAAUCAAUAAUGAAGAAAAGAAAACUCAAAAAAAAUAACUCUAGAUCCUGAGAUAAAUAAGAAUUUACCUCACUUUGGCUCUGAUACCAACUGACGCAGAACCCUAUGCCACAAGCCUCAAACCCACACGCACAAGUAGAUAUGGAAUCCAAAGAUUUGAUAAACCCACCUCCUAUGGCACCCCACACUUAGAGAAGCUGAAACACCAAUAAUCGAAGGAUUUAGAUGAGAAUCUGACAAACGCCACAACGAAUAGUUGAUAUGUAAGCCAAGAUUUCUGAUGCAAUUGAUGAAAGUAAAUCCUCACUCUCACUCAAAGCAAUAUACGCCAAAGGCAUGAAAGAAAUUCUGAAAAGUUUGAUUAAAAGCUGCCUCUUACAAUUGUUUCUUAUCCUUAUAUAGUAAGGAGAAAAACAAAUAAAACCCUAAGACACUCUUCUUGGACCUGACUUAAACACAUAAGGCCCAAGCCCAAUCACACACUAAAAUAACACAUAAGUAUUAAAACAUAAGCCCCAAACAUGGCCCAACACUCUAAAACUUAAAAGAUAAAGUAUGGCCAGAAUACAAGCCCAAACAAAGCUAAAAUAAAACAAGUGUUAAAUAAUAAAAAUAUAGCAAGCCCAUCAUAAUAAAGCUGAAUCUUCACAAAAGCCUUACUUGAUCUUCACUUUAGGCUUCCCUUUGUGUAGUUUUAGCCCAUAGGUUUGAUUAGGCUCUCUAAGCCUAUGAUUGCAAGUGUUGCACUAAAUCUGUCCCAUAUGAGUUGAAGCACGCCCCAAAUAUAUAUGGAUCAUAUGAAUAUGAUUUUGAACUCCUUUUUGAUCCAUUUGAAUGACAUAAGUUUGCUCCACACCAUUGUUAGAAAUUUGCCCUAUUGGAUCCGUAUCAACGCUUCAAGCCAUAAGGCACUGAAAAUUGAGUCGCAAACAUUUCCUGCAUGUUUGAAAUAUGUAUUUCUAGGAAAUAAGAACACACUUUCAAUCAUAAUCUCCUCCAAGUUGAAUACUUUAAAAGCAAUGAAGUUAAUUUGGGUUUUGAACGAAUAUUAAGAUGGAAGUGGAUGAAGCUUACCAUGCCACUGAAGUCUAGCCUAAAACAAUAAAUAAGGGCACUGCUUGGGAGGCAACCCAAGGUUACAUGCUUGCCUAAGCUUGUAGAGUCACAAGUAAGUUUUCCUUUUAAUUUUUAGUUUUAAUUAAUUUAUUUGCUAUUUUUUGGAGCAGAUUUGACCUUCUGUGUAAUUUGAAAAUUUUAAAGAACCUUUUUGGAGGUAAAUCAUUAUUUUUGUUGCUCCAUAAAAAAGGUAAGUUAUGUUCUACUUCACUUUAUUUUCUACCAAAAAAAAAUAAAAAAUAAAGAAUAAAAAUAAUAAAUAAUAAAUAAAAUAAAAUAUAAACCUAAUUCUUUCUCUCUCCUAUCAUCUUCCUUUUCUUCUUCUUUUUUCUUUUCUUUUUCUUUUCUACAGAUGGCCAGCGUCGCCUCCUCCCGCGCCACUUCCUCUGCCGCCGAAAGUCACGCCGUUGGCGCUUCGACCGGGAGCCGCCACUCGUCGCACCGCCAACAGACCAUGAUCCUAUAAAAUGCGGCGACCAAACCAGCGGAUGCUCCAUCAUCGCCGGUAACGCGUCCCUCCUCGCCGGUCGCAUGCAGCUUUCGCGCAAGCCCCCUCCGCCGAUCGCGAAGCCUGCGCAACCUUCAUCGCCGAAUGCAGCGCCCCCUUCACAAAUCUCGAUGUCUUCGCCGCCGAUUGCCAAUCCAGCCACGCCUUAUUUGCCAAAUCCCGAGUCCAGCCUCACCAGUUGCCACCUCCUCAACGCCUCCACCGCCGUCAACCUCCUCACCGAUUGCAGUCAUGCACCAGCAUUUGCAGAUGAGAUGAGUUAUGAUGAUGAGGAGGUGAAAUCUGAGAUGAUAAAAAAAUGCAACCCAACCACCACCGGCUUGAGCUCUAUGCGACUUACCCUCAGGGAAGCUCUCUUUGACUUACUUUUAUUUUAUUUUGUGAACUUCUCCCGUUUCAGUGAAUUUUUCCACAUUGAGGACAAUGUGAGGAGUAUGUGUGGGGGAAAUGUGGUAUGGAAAUUGAAGUGUUUUUUUUAUUGAUGAGAUUGAUUGAUGAUUGAUGAUUAAUUAACAUAUAUAUCUGCUGUAUUCGAAAAUUUUUUGAGAAUAUUUAUUAUUUUUCUGCCAUUUUUCUUUGAGUUUUUUGUGUUUGAGUUAGAGGCUUGCCCAAACUCAUAAACACUUGAUCUGUUUUUAUGAUUCUCAACAAUUUCUCAGCACUUGCCCUUAGCUAAAUUGUUUCUCAGAUUUAAUUUUUAUGACUUUUAGUAUUAGUAUCAUUUUGUUCAAAAAAAAUAAAAAAAAAAUAAAAAAUUUUGUACAGCUCCUUACUUGCCAUGAGAAAUUGAUAUGUCUUUUAUCAUAGAAUUUAAGUUCUUAUGCCAUUUGUAUGCUGAUUUAAAUAGAAUAAAUUUAUCAUUGUUCAUUUUGUUAGUUUUAUUUUUAAUAUUUGUUUUGAAAACUCAUGAAGUAUGGUCCUUAUUUAAACAGUUGGGUAAUGGAUGCAUGUUUUUUUAAAUGAAUUAUUGCUCUUUAUUGAGAAUGAAUUAAAGGAUAUUUUCUAUACUAUAUGUUUCUGUGAAAAUUAAGGGGUGUCAUAAAAAAAUAAAAAAUAAAAAAUAAAAAAAUAAAAUAAAAAAAUAGAAAUAAAUGCACUCCUAUGACCUACUCCUCUAGUUGCUUGAUCAAUUGGUUACCAACCCGAGGUGAUACGGAUCCAAUAGGGUAAAUUUCUAACAAUGGUGUGGAGCAAACUUAUGUCAUUCAAAUGGAUCUAAAAGGAGUUUAAAAUCAUAUUCAUAUGAUCCAUAUAUAUUUGGAGCAUGCUUCAACUCAUAUGGGACAGAUUUGGUGCAACACUUGCAAUCAUAGACUUAGGGAGCCUAAUCAAACCUAUGGGCUAAAACUACACAAAGGGAAGUCUAAAGUGAAGAUCAAGUAAGGUUUUUGUGAAGAUUUAGCUUUGUUAUGAUGGGCUUGCUAUAUUUUUAAUAUUUAACACUUGUUUUAUUUUAGGUUUGUUUGGACUUGUAUUCUGGCCAUACUUUAUCUUUUAAGUUUUAGAGUGUUGGGCCAUGUUUUGGGCUUAUGUUUUAAUAUUUAUGUGUCAUUUUAGUGUGUGAUUGGGCUUGGACUUUAUGUGUUUAAGUCAGGUCCAAGAAGAUUGUCUUAGGAUUUUAUUUGUUUUUCUCCUUACUAUAUAAGGAUAAGAAACAAUUGUGAGAAGCAUCUUUUAAUCAAAAUUUCAAGAAUUCUUCUCAUGCCUUUGGCGUGUAUUGCUUUGAGUGAGAGUGAGGAUUUGCUUUCAUCAAUUGCACUAGGAAUCUUGGCUAACUUAUCAACUAUUCGUUGUGGCAUUUGUCAGAUUCUCAUCUAAAUCCUUCGAUCAUUGGUGUUUUAGCUUCUCUAAGUGUGGGGUGACAUAGGAGGUGAGUUUAUCAAAUAUUUGGAUUCCAUAUCUACUUGUGCGUGUAGGUUUGAGACUUGUGCCAUAGGGUUCCAUGUCACGAGGGCCCAAGUAGUGCGGUACUUGGUGUCCCUUAAGGUGAUUCCGUAUGGAGAAAUCGGUGUUUGGGAGAGUAUCACCCUUUUUGGGCUAUUUAAAAAACUCGUCCAUACCUUUUUAUUAGGUAACUAUGAGUGGAGCUAGUAGUAACUUGAGCUGAAUAACCUGGGGCAAGUGGCUCAGUAACCAUUUGUUUCACGUUCACUUUAUCGGUUUCAGGCAAGAUAUAGUAGGAAGUGUAAAUAAUAAAUAAUAAACCCCCAAGUUUUUAAAUUUUAUUGGUCUAGUUAAGAGUUCCUAAAAUUCUAUUCUUUCAAAAGGACAUAUUAAUAUUAUAUGGUAUUCUAAUAUUUUAUGUGUUUGAAAUUGAAUUGAUGACCAACUUUAUAACUUGAAAAACACGUUUUAAACAUGAAACUUGUUGAAGUGAACUUUGGUGAAAUUAACAUAUUUCUGCUAUCAUCAUAUUGCGUGACAAUUUAGUUCUUUGUUUUGGACAAAUUAAAUUUCAGAUUGGUUGAGGACAGAGCUGUGUUUUAUUAUUUCAUUUUAAUUUCUAUGCUUGAGGACAAGCAAAAGUGCAAGUGUGGGGAAAUUUGAUGAGUUGCAAAACUCACAAUUUUGUUCCCAUUUAAUUCCAUGAUUUUACUAUCAUUUUGAGAUAAAUAUUUAAUUUUAAUUUGAAUUUAAUUUUGGACAGAUUUGUGAGUAGAAAUUGAGAAAAGGAACGAAAAAAGAUUUUUGUACCGGAAGUUACAACCUUGACCAGACCUGUAACCCAAGGCAAUGGGGAGAUAAAGAUAGAUUUUGCCAAGCAAGGAUAAGAUCAGUUUCAAGUGGAAUCAAAUUGAAUCAAAUUGAAUCAAACACAAUCAUAUUAGGAUAUAGAUAAGGAUAGAGAUAAGAUAGAAAUAGUAGAUUUUAUUUUAAAUUAAGUUUUAUCUUUUUGUGCCUAUAUAAAAGCUCCUAGUAUUAAACCCAUUGAUCAUAUUCUAUCUCUCACUCUCAUUUCCUCUCUUGCUGGCCCCCACUCUCUUCUCCAUUUUUUUUUUCUUCUUCGUCUUUUUCUUAGUUGUUAUAAUUUUAUUAUACCCAUGAGUGGCUAAACAAUUAUUUUUCAGUUGAAGGUUAAAUUAAAUUGAGGUUUGUUCAAGUUGUGAGGUUAUACACUUUAAUUCUCUUCAUCUUAUUUCUAUUUUCUAUUAAUUUCUGAAUUCGAUAAACACCACCUCCAUUGUUGUUUUCUUGAGAAUUCAGGGGACCCAUUGAAUCUCUUGGGAAGAUAAUAUAUUGCUAAUUAAUCUAAUUAAAUCUAUAAUUAUUUAAUUGGGUUAAUAAUAAGUAGAAAUUAAUAUAUUAGUUUAUAUUAAGAAAUUAAUAGAUUUGAUUUAAAUAAAAUGCGUAUUUUUAUUGAUCAAGUUUGGGUUCUUCUCUCUUAAUGCAGUUGACUAAUUAAAUCUACACGCGUGUUGGGGUUGUUAGGGUAAAAUUUGUUUUGAACAGCAACCAAACAAUGUAUUCGACUCUAAUAGGUAUCCCAAACCAGAUUUUCAAAGUGAUAUAUUCGGCCAAUAAUGGACAAAAUUGAAUGCAAAGAUGCAAAGGAUAGUUAAGAAAUUAUUACUAAGCCUAGCUCUGAUACCAAUUGAUGCGGAACCCCAGCCUAUUAGAGACUGAAACGACACAUACCCUAGUAAAAAGAACUUAAUUCAGAAAAUAAUUCCCCAAUCUAAAGCACCCUUAAUUAACAUGCAAUUAAGAACACUUAUAAUGAAUUGAUUUUAAGAGCAGCAAGAAUAAGAAACAUACAAGUUAGUAUCAAACCUUAUUCGUGAUGCAAUGUCAAGAACCAAGAUCUCUCUUAAGCUCUCAAAGAAGAAUCACAUAAAGCAAUUGUAUUGAAUAAUUGAUAAUCUGUGUACAAUAUAGAAAAAGAGAUGCUUUAUAUAGCCUAAAUUAAGACCCAUAAUCUUUGCCACUUCCCACUACUAUACAUGGACCCAUGAUCUAUGCCACUUCCCACUACUAUACAUGGACCCAUGAUCUUUGCCACUUUCCACAACUAUGCAUGGACCCAUGAUCUAUGCCACUAUCCACUACUAGAUAACUACCCACUACCAAAUAACUACCCACUACUGGUUAACUACCAACUACUAAAUAACUAAGCACUAUAAAUACAAAAUUUGAAUUGUCAAUAAGGACACAUUUGGCCUAAUUGACUUGGAAUGGCCAGAUUGUUUUUCAACUUCAAAAUGAACUUGCAAAGCUUCAACAUAUUCCUUCAUGAAUCCUUGAAGUGCUUCCUUCAACCUCUUGGAUCUCAGCCUUGUAAUUGGUCCUUAAGGCAAUGCUAGCUCAUCAUUUUUGGUAUUGUUGGUUGUGCUUACAUCACCUUCGGUAGAAUCCGGCAUGGCCAAGGAAAAAGUGAAUUUCUCGAAUGCUGAUUGGAUAAGGCAGAUUUUUAAUUGUGUCUACCUUGGCUUUGUCAACCUCUAUUCCUUUUACUGAAACAAUGUAGCCUAAAAUCAAACUUUUGUUAACCAUAAAGUGACAUUUUUCAUAGUUUUAAACCAUAUUUGACUCAUUGUUGUCAAGACCGGUCAAAAAUAACAUUUCUGGUUAUCAACAAUAUUACAACUGUAGAUAGUGGUGAAAUGAUCGAAUCCACAGAGAAUUGAAAACUUACCUAUCUUCCUUAUCAAGACCAAGAAAAUAAACUGAAAGCGAAUAAACUGAAAGUAAAAUAAAUUGACAAUAAAAGUAAAAGGAGUUUCUUGAGAUUGAUUCAAUUGAACUAAUAAAGAAAGCAAUAAAGUAAGCGAAUAAUAAAACUAAAGAGAAAUCAAUAAUAAGAAAGUUCUAGUUGAAGAAUUGGAUCCACUUCAGUUGUUGGGAUUGAUCAUUGAAACUUGGUUCUUUUGUUUGAUUCAAUAAAUUAGUUAUGGGGAUGGAAAAUGUUUCUCAUCACCAUAUCUCUCCUUAAGCAUAAACCAAUUAGGAAACGUCCUCUAAUUAAUUACUAAUCAACAAGUUGCCAAGGAACGUCAUUGGGCCUUAGGCAUCAAAACAACUGUCAAUUGCAUUAAGAAAUAGAGAGACCUAAUUCUAGCUACCCAAACGCAUGGUGAUAUUGCUAGAUUAUGCAACUUCCUUAGUUUUUACACAAAGUGUUCUUGUGUUUGAACAAUCCAAGCAAUUACGGAUUCAAAAUUAUUCAAACUAACAAUAUAUUAUGACGCGAAACCCUAUGGCACAAGCCUCAAACCCACACGCACAAGUAGAUAUGGAAUCCAAAGAUUUGAUAAACCACCUCCUAUGGCACCCCACACUUAGAGAAGCUG
rnacentral:lncRNA from 1 species